rnacentral:snRNA from 1 species
AGCUUUGCGCAGUGGCGGUAUCGUAGCCAAUGAGGUUGAUCUGAGGUGUGAUUAUUGCUAAUUGGAAAAAAAAAAAAGAAUGGAGUUCUGACACAUGCUACAAUACAGAUGAACUUUGAAGACAUUAUGCCAAGUG